GAGGAGAGCAAAGGUACCUUUCUUGGCUGAUCCCUUUCGCGUUAUGGCGAGCUCGUUUGGGUUGGGCAUCGGCUAGAAGUGCUUGGAGCGCGGAUUAACUCCAGUCUCCUAUCAGACAACUUUGGAGGAGCAGCGAGGCUUGGAGUAUCGACUUGGAUAAGCUUGAAUCGUAUUAUUGGACCCUGUGAAGGACAUCGUAAGGGAUCUCAGUAGCAGUCGUCGCGAAACAAGUGUGUA